AUGGAGUCUCUGAGGACUGGCGCGGUGGCCAACGGCAUGGAGAUGGAGAUUGGGCAAGGUGGAGAAGUUAACCUUGGCAAGCUCUCCCUUCAACUUAUUUUUCUUGAGGUUGAUAAAUCUGGGAUUUUGCCACUGAAUCUGUUCCCACCGAGAUCAAGAAAACCUAGAUUACUGAGCUUUAUCAUUAGUGCAUCGUCAAUUAUUCCUUGCAAGUGGUUAUUAGGAAAGGAGAGGUACUCCAAUGAGGUGGCUCUGAAGAGAUCAUCUGGCAGGGUCCCAAUGAUGUUGUUUUGGCCAACCCUGAGCAUUCUAAGGGAAGAGCAUUUACCUAUUCCAGGGGGGAUGCUGCCACUGAAUUGGUUUACCUGGAGAGGCCGGUCAGGUGAUGACGAAUUCAGCUCCUGCAAUUCUCCAUCCAGGCGGUUGAAGCUGACAUCAAGGACGACAAUGCUGCUGAAUAUCAGCUCUGAUGGAAGCUCACUGGAGAGUAAGUUGUAUGACAGGUUGAGUCGCGACAAGCUGGUGAGCUCGCUCAGGGAUGAUGAGAUGCACCCUUGUAGGCCUCUUGAGGCCAGUAAUAGCUCAGUUACUGCACCAUCUUCUCCACAGAUGAUCCCUUCCCAGGUGCAACAAUCUGUACUAUUCUGCCAUGACGCAGCGAGGCCACCAUCCUGCGAUAGCCUGGUGAGGAACUGGAGGAGGGAGCGCCUCUCCCUCUCGGUGCAUGAACCGACAGGUGAGAUGAAGGUGAACAGCAGCAACACAAGAACAGGGCCAAAGAAAUUUAUGCAAAACCUGCUGGUUUUGUUGCUGCACGAAAAAUGUGGUAUUGGCUUCAUGGUUUGUAUCAGUUGGAAGCUGUGACAGAAUAGCG
rnacentral:lncRNA from 1 species